rnacentral:lncRNA from 1 species
ACUAACUACAGCUGGCUGGAAACAAAACACAUUUUUCCUCGUCCUCGUUCUUACAAAGUGACAUGACAAAUUUCCAUUCCGAAGCAGGUGCGACGUUUCACCCCAGCGGGGCAGAUCCCGACGACAGCUAAGAGAUAAAAGACGGGAAGACCGCAUGCCCGGCCCUAGUGGUAUUUGGUAGACACGUAACGGUGCGACCCAGAACUGGCCGCCGCACCCCUAACCUACUUCUCGUUUCAUUCACAUGUGGAUGGAUUCCACAAAGGGCAAUCGAAGGGGCACUCCCAUCCCUGGAAUUGUUCUUCCCCAACCAUAACGGAAAAAGAAGUCUUGUUAACCAUUUCGAAAACGUCGGUAGUAGUAGAUACUAACUAUAUUUAUUCGUUAAUUCGACGAACGACAAACAUAAAAACUAUGUUUAAAAAAUGACCGUACUCCGAUGUUUACCGAUGAAGAGUUCAAUAGCGCGGAUCCACACGUGUCGGUGGCCUAAGGGAAACCUGUUUCUCUAUUCCUUGCGUUAGUACUACCACCACCCAUCUAGAUGAAAAACAGACUAUUAAUAUAAUCAAUAAUUAUUUAAAAGAUUUCAAACAGAAGUGACGAAAAACCAGAAGAAUGGAGACGGGCGGCAGACGCCAAGUAUUUCUCAUUUGUGCACAAUCAGCGUCUGCCAGGUUUCUGAAGUGCACUGCAGAGACGGUUCCGCGCGGCCAGGGUCAGCCAAAGACGUGUCGGAAUGCGGCCAGGUCGCGUAGAGUUCGAUUGCGUUGUACGGCGUUAUUUUUCCAAACGACGCCCGCGGUUCUGACUCUACCAGUACAGUAGACGUCCAGACGCCGCGGGGUUCCAGGAUAGUCUGGAAAUCUUCCAGUCUCUUCACAGAGACGGAAAGACAGAAUUCUCUGGACGAAAACAAUCGUCUACCACCCGUUCAUCCUCUUUAUUUUAAAACAAUUUCGAUUCGCUGCAAUUUUUUCCCUAAUUAUCAAAAAGUCAUCAUUUAAUUAUCUAGAAAACGAUAUCGCCCCCUCUCGCCCAGAAAUAUAUGGAGAAAAUAAAAAAAAAGGAGAGAAACCGGUCAUGUAAACUUUGUAUACAAUAAAUUAAAUCAGACCUAC